GACGAACGCUGGCGGCGUGCCUAAUACAUGCAAGUAGAACGCUGAAGGAGGAGCUUGCUUCUCUGGAUGAGUUGCGAACGGGUGAGUAACGCGUAGGUAACCUGCCUGGUAGCGGGGGAUAACUAUUGGAAACGAUAGCUAAUACCGCAUAAGAGUAGAUGUUGCAUGACAUUUGCUUAAAAGGUGCAAUUGCAUCACUACCAGAUGGACCUGCGUUGUAUUAGCUAGUUGGUGGGGUAACGGCUCACCAAGGCGACGAUACGUAGCCGACCUGAGAGGGUGAUCGGCCACACUGGGACUGAGACACGGCCCAGACUCCUACGGGAGGCAGCAGUAGGGAAUCUUCGGCAAUGGACGGAAGUCUGACCGAGCAACGCCGCGGGAGUGAAGAAGGUUUUCGGAUCGUAAAGCUCUGUUGUAAGAGAAGAACGAGUGUGAGAGUGGAAAGUUCACACUGCGACGGUAUCUUACCAGAAAGGGACGGCUAACUACGUG
rnacentral:rRNA from 1 species